GAUGAACGCUGGCGGCGUGCCUAACACAUGCAAGUCGAACGGAGUCCAGCCUUUAAGACCUUCGGGUCAAAGAGGGGAAGACUGAGUGGCGGACGGGUGAGUAACACGUGGGCAACCUGGCUCAUAGAGGGGGAUAACAGAGAGAAAUUUCUGCUAAUACCGCAUAAGCACACACUGCCGCAUGGCAGAGGGUGAAAAGAGAAUCGCUAUGAGAUGGACCCGCGUCUGAUUAGCCAGUUGGCAGGGUAAGAGCCUACCAAAGCGACGAUCAGUAGCCGAUCUGAGAGGAUGAACGGCCACAUUGGGACUGAGACACGGCCCAAACUCCUACGGGGGGCAGAAGUGGGGGAUAUUGCACAAUGGGGGGAACCCUGAUGCAGCGACGCCGCGUGAGUGAAGAAGUAUUUCGGUAUGUAAAGCUCUAUCAGCAGGGAAGAUAAUGACAGUACCUGAAGAAGAAGCCCCGGCUAACUACGUG
rnacentral:rRNA from 1 species